UACAGAGGGUGCAAGCGUUAAUCGGAAUUACUGGGCGUAAAGCGCACGUAGGUGGCUUGAUAAGUUGGGUGUGAAAGCCCCGGGCUUAACCUGGGAAUGGCCGUUGAAACUGGCGAACUGGAGUGUGGCAGAGGGGGGUGGAAUUCCGCGUGUAGCAGUGAAAUGCGUAGAGAUGCGGAGGAACACCGAUGGCGAAGGCAGCCCCCUGGGCUGACACUGACGCUCAGGCACGAAAGCGUGGGGAGCAAACAGG
rnacentral:rRNA from 1 species